AAACUAACAAGGAUUCCCCUAGUAACGGCGAGUGAAGAGGGAAGAGCCCAAGAUUGAAAGCUGGCGUCUUCGGCGUCCGCAUUGUAAUCUCAAGAAGUGUUUUCCGCUUCGGACCAUGCCUAAGUCCCUUGGAAAAGGGCAUCAUAGAGGGUGAUAAUCCCGUACAUGGCAUGGAGCGCCCGAGGCUUUGUGAUACGCUUUCUAAGAGUCGAGUUGUUUGGGAAUGCAGCUCAAAAUGGGUGGUAAAUGCCAUCUAAGGCUAAAUAUUGGGGAGAGACCGAUAGCGAACAAGUACAGUGAUGGAAAGAUGAAAAGAACUUUGAAAAGAGAGUUAAACAGUACGUGAAAUUGCCAAAAGGGAAGGGUAGGAGGUCAGAGAUGCGUCUUGGGAUUCAGCCUUGCUUUUGCUUGGUGUUUUUCCCAAGUUGCAGGCCAACGUCGGUUUUGGGCACUGGAGAAGGGUGGAAGGAACGUGGCACCUCUCGGGGUGUGUUAUAGCCUUCUACUGGAUACAGCGACCGAGACCGAGGACAGCAGCGUACUCG
rnacentral:rRNA from 1 species